rnacentral:rRNA from 2 species
GGGUUGUGAGGUUAAGCGACCAAGCGUACACGGUGGAUGCCCUGGCAGUCAGAGGCGAUGAAGGACGUGCUAAUCUGCGAAAAGCGCCGGUAAGGUGAUAUGAACCGUUAUAACCGGCGAUGUCCGAAUGGGGAAACCCAGUGUGACUCGUCACACUAUCAUUAACUGAAUCCAUAGGUUAAUGAGGCGAACCGGGGGAACUGAAACAUCUAAGUACCCCGAGGAAAAGAAAUCAACCGAGAUUCCCCCAGUAGCGGCGAGCGAACGGGGAGGAGCCCAGAGCCUGAAUCAGCAUGUGUGUUAGUGGAAGCGUCUGGAAAGGCGCGCGAUACAGGGUGAGAGCCCCGUACACAAAAGCGCAUAUGCUGUGAGCUCGAUGAGUAGGGCGGGACACGUGGUAUCCUGUCUGAAUAUGGGGGGACCAUCCUCCAAGGCUAAAUACUCCUGACUGACCGAUAGUGAACCAGUACCGUGAGGGAAAGGCGAAAAGAACCCCGGCGAGGGGAGUGAAACAGAACCUGAAACCGUGUACGUACAAGCAGUGGGAGCCUCUCUUUAUGGGGGGUGACUGCGUACCUUUUGUAUAAUGGGUCAGCGACUUAUAUUCUGUAGCAAGGUUAACCGCAUAGGGGAGCCGAAGGGAAACCGAGUCUUAAUUGGGCGUUAAGUUGCAGGGUAUAGACCCGAAACCCGGUGAUCUAGCCAUGGGCAGGUUGAAGGUUGGGUAACACUAACUGGAGGACCGAACCGACUAAUGUUGAAAAAUUAGCGGAUGACCUGUGGCU